rnacentral:rRNA from 1 species
AUGUCCUCCUCUCCCGGUCGGUCGUUUCCCCUGUCAAGGAAGCUAAAUUGUUCAAUGGAGGACCUACCGGAGGCUUUGCUGACAGAGAUUCUCAACAGGAUCACCAGGACAAGUGAUCUCAAUUAUCUUUCCCUUGUGUCAAAGCAGCUCUACAAGAUAGAGGGGAGUCAAAGGGGUGCUAUCCGUGUUGGUUCCGGUCUUUGCACUGCUACAAAAGCACCGACAUCAUUGUGCGCCCGGUUCCCAAAUCUGUGGAAAGUGGAUAUCGAUUACUCCGGUUGGGUACCUGGACAUGGAAAGCAGUUGGACAACAAAGGCCUUCUUGUGUUUUCAUCUCACUGUCCCUCGAUGAUUGACCUCACCUUAAGCUUCUGCUCAUGCAUCGAUGACUCUGGGCUUGCUUGUUUAGCGAAUUGCAAGAAAUUGGUGUCUCUCAGGCUGAAAUCCACACCAAAAAUAACUUCGAUUGGGCUUUUCUCGGUUGCAGUUGGUUGCACAAGUCUAUCUGCUCUCCACCUUAUUGGUUGCGAGAAAAUUGACAGUGUAGAGUGGCUGGAAUACCUUGGUAGGGAUGGGUCGCUGGAAGAGCUGGUAGUGAAGAAUUGCAAAGGUAUCAAUCAUCAUGACUUUCUAAAGUUUGGUUCAGGAUGGAUGAAGCUCCAGAAGUUUGAGUUUGAGAGCAAAAGAGGGAGAUAUGGCCUUCUUGAUCCAGGUGAUGUUGUCUAUGACUCCUUGUAUGAUGCUCAAAGCAUGGAUAUGUAUGAUUUCUGCUGCGAAAGUUUGAAGGAUUUAAGGUUGGCGCAUAUUAAAACUUGGCCAGAAGCAGGACUUCGAGUUCUCCUAGGGAAGUGUAAAGCAUUGGAGAAGCUUUGCCUUCAGUAUGUUCAUGCCCUAAAUGAUAAUGACAUUAUUGCAUUAUCUCGGAGCUGCAGCAACCUUAAAAGAAUCUCACUUUGGCUCAACCUGCAGCGCUACUCUAGUGAUGUUAGCUAUUGUGAGACCAGGACGUCAUUUACUGAUAACAGCCUUUACGCUCUAGCCCUCAACUGUCGCAUGCUUCAGAUGAUAGACCUCAGCUUUACAGAAUGUGAUGCCGACUGGCCAUCAGAAAUAGGAUUCACACAAGAGGGUUUUCUGGUGCUCAUUAAGUCCUGCCCAAUUCGUGUUCUUGUGCUCAACAACGGCAACUUCUGUGAUGACGAGGGGAUGAAGGCCCUCUCAUCCUCGCCUCAUCUGGAGACACUCGAGCUUAUAUUGUGUCGUGCGGUAACUGAUGUUGGGAUGCGCUUCAUUGCGCACACCCCAUGCUUGAGUAAUCUCACACUUCGGAUGUGUCCUAACGUCACUGAUGUGGGAGUGGCUGAACUGGAACAUGCACAGAUGUUAAGAGUCUUUGGUCAUCGAGUCUUGUGGUGA